AGAAAAAACGACUUGUGAAACAGGGCUGCUAACUUUGUUUUGAGUAUUUAGGCGUACUCUUUUUCUU
rnacentral:tRNA from 2 species